rnacentral:rRNA from 1 species
CCCUUAGAUGUUCUGGGCUGCACGCGCGCUACACUGAAGCUAUCAACACGUUUUCCCUCCCUGAGAAGGGCGGGUAACCUUUUGAAUCAGCUUCGUGGUAGGGAUCGGGGCUUGCAAUUGUUCCCCGUGAACCAGGAAUUCCUAGUAGACGCGAGUCAUCAGCUCGCGUUGAUUACGUCCCUGCCCUUUGUACACACCGCCCGUCGCUACUACCGAUUGAAUGGUUUAGUGAGGACUCCUGAUUGGCGCCGCCGCCCCGGCAACGGAGCAGCGGACUGCCGAAAAGUUGUUCAAACUUGAUCAUUUAGAGGAAGUAAAAGUCGUAACA